rnacentral:rRNA from 1 species
UACGUAGGAUGCGAGCGUUAUCCGGAUUUAUUGGGUUUAAAGGGUGCGUAGGUGGGCUUUUAAGUCAGCGGUAAAAAUUCGGGGCUCAACCCCGUCCGGCCGUUGAAACUGGGGGUCUUGAGUGGGCGAGAAGAAGGCGGAAUGCGUGGUGUAGCGGUGAAAUGCAUAGAUAUCACGCAGAACCCCGAUUGCGAAGGCAGCCUUCCGGCGCCCUACUGACGCUGAGGCACGAAAGUGCGGGGAUCGAACAGG